CGGGCGUCGAACAGUCAGCU
rnacentral:siRNA from 1 species